GACGAACGCUGGCGGCGUGCUUAACACAUGCAAGUCGAACGGAAAGGCCCUGCUUUUGUGGGGUGCUCGAGUGGCGAACGGGUGAGUAACACGUGAGUAACCUGCCCUUGACUUUGGGAUAACUUCAGGAAACUGGGGCUAAUACCCGAUAGGAGCUCCUGCUGCAUGGUGGGGGUUGGAAAGUUUCGGCGGUUGGGGAUGGACUCGCGGCUUAUCAGCUUGUUGGUGGGGUAGUGGCUUACCAAGGCUUUGACGGGUAGCCGGCCUGAGAGGGUGACCGGCCACAUUGGGACUGAGAUAGGGCCCAGACUCCUACGGUAGGCAGCAGUGGGGAAUAUUGCACAGUGGGCGCAAGCCUGAUGCAGCAACGCCGCGUGCGUGAUGACGGCCUGCGGGUUGUAAACCGCUUUCGCCUGUGACGAAGCGUGAGUGACGGUAAUGGAUAAAGAAGCACCGGCUAACUACGUG
rnacentral:rRNA from 1 species